AUUGCUUGCGUGCGAGUAUUCUGUCUUCGGACAGUGGAAAUAGGAAAAGCUAGAAAGAAGGAAGAAGAGAGAGAGAGAUGGUGAGCAACAGCAGCAGCUCAUCUCUCAAACCCAACCCUAAAAAAGCUAAUUUGAUGGAUCCUCAUUCCAUCAAACACCUUCUCGACGAAUCCGUCUCCGAGAUUGUCACCGGCCAAGGAUACACCGAAGAUGUGCGUCUGAGCAACAUCAGAUUGCUUGUGGGAACGGUCAUCAUCGCCAUUGCUCUUAUCGUGCAAUUCUACUGUAAGAAGUUCUCAGAAAAUAAAGAUUUCCUCAUCGGAUGCAUCACAUUGUAUCCUUCAAAACCUAAUUCUUGUACAUCUCUCGGAGAAGAAAUCAUCUUCUUUUCAGUGUUUUUGCAGUGUAAUCUAUCUAUUGGAAAUUGGAUUUUAUUUUUUAUUUUUUUGAGAUCUUUGACUCCUUUUUGGCAAGUAUAUCGUCUUCAAUAGAUUGUUGCAGUUGAUCAUCUACAAAAAGGAGAAGAAUGCGAUCCUUUUCACUUAUCCUCUUCCGGGAUCAUUCAACAGCACUGGACUAAUAGUAUCUUCCAAGCUGCCAAGAUUCUCUGACUAGUAUACACUGUCUGUCGCCAGCGCAGAUCCAAAAUCUGUUUCUGCCAGCAAAGCAGUCCAUUUCACAGAGUGUUACCAAGUGGUUAGUUCAUUUGAUAUAUUUUCAAAUUUCUCCUUCCAGGGAUGGAAUGCCAUAAUCCU